rnacentral:rRNA from 1 species
UACGAAGGGGGCUAGCGUUGCUCGGAAUGACUGGGCGUAAAGGGCGCGUAGGCGGUUUUGACAGUCAGACGUGAAAUUCCUGGGCUCAACCUGGGGGCUGCGUUUGAUACGUCGGGACUGGAGUGCGGAAGAGGGUCGUGGAAUUCCCAGUGUAGAGGUGAAAUUCGUAGAUAUUGGGAAGAACACCGGUGGCGAAGGCGGCGACCUGGUCCGUGACUGACGCUGAGGCGCGAAAGCGUGGGGAGCAAACAGG